rnacentral:tRNA from 1 species
GACCGCGUAGCUCAGUUGGCAGAGCAUUGGGCUAGUAUUCCAAAGGUCGUAGGUUAGUAUCCCACCGUGGCG